CCUGCCCCUAAAAGUAUUGCAGGUGUGGCUACUGGGUCACAUGGCUGUCAGAUGUCAGAGAAGAGAGAGGGUAUGUCUUCCCUCUGUGUUCUGACCUGUGACCAUCUGAGUGAUCAGUAGCCUGACCAU